GUCAGUUUUAUUAAUUUUAGCUAAUAAGUUAAUAUCGACUUCAUAGCUUUCGUUUUACCUUGUUGCCAUGAAAACCCAGACAUAGUGAUUUUGGUCCAUUAAUAUAUGAAGACGAUUUAAAGAUCCAUAAAUUCAUUUUAAUAUAAUCAUAUGACAAAUUGAGUUAUCAAAUUACCCUGAAAUUUUUACUGCAAAGCUAUGUGUCAUAAUAGACGACAGUUUUAUCGAUGAGAUACCGCAAGUGCCUAUACAUUAGUAUCUUAUCAGCCCAUAACUGGGACCAUUUAGCGAGAAUUGAAAUACAAUAUUAGUACAUUGUUGUAACUCACAAAGACAAUACAAAUAAAUAAUGGGUGGGUGCAGUAGUUGCUGUGGCGACGAUGGCGGAGGGGUAAACGUUGUGGAUCAGCCUCCGAUGCACGACAUGGGACAUCCUGCGAUGGUGGACGACGGUGGUGGUGUGAUGGUGGUCGACAGCCCUCCCGGCCCCGGCCCAAUGGGGAGAUAGAUUGAAAUACCUUUACUGACUUGAUUAUUGCUAAACGUGUUAUUGUUAUGGUUUAGUGUUUGGAAAAUAAAUAAUAAUUAUUUUAUAUUAAGUAACUAA